UCUCCCCAACAGAUCAUCGCCAAUCACCACAUGCAGUCCAUAUCCUUCGCCUCAGGAGGCGAUCCGGACACUGCUGAAUACGUUGCCUACGUCGCCAAAGAUCCAGUCAAUCAAAGAGCGUGCCACAUAUUGGAGUGCUCCGAUGCGAUGGCCCAGGAUGUCAUCAGCACCAUUGGACAAGCCUUUGAGCUGCGGUUCAAACAGUACUUGAAGAACCCUCCCAAACUGGUCACGCCCCACGACAGGUAAAAGGAGCCAGAUGCGGGGUCCCCGCGUUUGCCGUUGCGCUCACAUUUCCGAAGCCCCCUCCGCUGAACACCGGAGAGGCGACCGGUGG